rnacentral:rRNA from 1 species
UACGGGGGGAGCAAGCGUUGUUCGGAAUUACUGGGCGUAAAGCGCGCGUAGGCGGACCUGCAAGUCGGGGGUGAAAGCCCGAGGCUCAACCUCGGAACUGCCUUCGAUACUGCGGGUCUCGAGUCCGGGAGAGGUGAGUGGAAUUCCUAGUGUAGAGGUGAAAAUUCGUAGAUAUUAGGAAGAACACCAGUGGCGAAGGCGGCUCACUGGCCCGGUACUGACGCUGAGGCGCGAAAGCGUGGGGAGCAAACAGG